rnacentral:rRNA from 1 species
UACGAAGGGGGCUAGCGUUGCUCGGAAUCACUGGGCGUAAAGGGUGCGUAGGCGGGUCUUUAAGUCAGGGGUGAAAUCCUGGAGCUCAACUCCAGAACUGCCUUUGAUACUGAAGAUCUUGAGUUCGGGAGAGGUGAGUGGAACUGCGAGUGUAGAGGUGAAAUUCGUAGAUAUUCGCAAGAACACCGGUGGCGAAGGCGGCCCGCUGGGCAGUGGCUGACGCUGAGGCGCGACAGCGUGGGGAGCAAACAGG